GGCAGGCUGCAACUCAGGGAUUAAAAAGCAACAUCAUGUGAAAGCUGUUUCCAUAGCCGGUGGAAAGCGAGAGCCCCCAGAAGGGCUGAAAACCGGGGGAGCCGGUGCUUGGUGCCGAGCAGAGAGGAAGCCUUGGCCGGCGUGAGAUGCUAAAUCAACGUGGAUGACCAAAUCCAGUCACGGAUCCAGGUUUGCCCUGUCUGCUGCCGAUCCCAACCUGUGGAACAGCCCGGGAUUUACCCAGGCAAGAGCAGAAAGGGUCGGAUCCUGCGUCUGCCCAUGGCGCAUCCCAGCCUGCCUGCCCUACAGUCCCUCUGGACUGGCACGGUGUGGGGAGCGGAACCCGGCCCCACAUCCCUCUCCCGCCUCAGCGCCUGAGUACGUGCAUCGAAACUGGGAGCAGUUUGCGAUGAUCCCUGGCGCUGGGGCAUCCCCAGUCCCUCUCCGGAGCACUGACGCCUUGGCAGGGCAUGUUCAGCAGUGAACGCGUCCAGACCGGGCGGCUACAAAGGCGUCUUCCUCUCAAACCUACAGCAAAUACGUAAAGAUUCACAGAGCGUUGUUAUUAUUUUUGUCGUGCCAUCGGAAUGGCUGAAGGAGAGGCAAAAAAAGGGAUGGAAGAAAACCCAGUGGUUUGGUUUUAAGUGAGAUUUUACAGAGAUUUGAGGGUCAGAGGUAGAGCGGCCAUGGGGCAUCUCUUCCUGGCACCGGGAGACGGGCAGCGGGCAGAAAGGGAAGGGCAGGCAGAAAGCAGGGCCGAGGAGAAGAGAAUGGGGACGGAGAGGGGGCUCUUCCCACGGACUGUUUCUCAUUUUUGCAUGAUGCUGGAGGGCUCGCUGGGCUGUUCGGCGCGAAGUCACGAGGUGCCACGAGGAUGUCUGAUGUGCAGCAGUUUCACAACACUCACCUAUGUGUCUCCUUGGUGUACCACGAGUGGGACUGGUAUCUUCUCUCGCCUGCGAAGAAACGCCAGGCGGGAGAGUGUUCCCCAGUAAGCUCCUGAAGCCUUACCACUCACCUUGGCUUAACUCGCGCUGAGGGCAAGAGAACUCGGGUUUAAAUUUUCCUAGGUGGCCUGAGCUCAACCCCAGGUUCUCUGUCUGAACCCCACCUACUCGUUUCAGUUACAAACCCAAGAUGGAAGAUGUCCUCUCUCCUCCCGUGGAUCGCAUCUGCCAGGCCUUGCUCUUUGCCCUCGGGAGUGUCGGUGCCAGGCGUCUCCUCCAUCCUGAGUCACCGCUCUUAGCCGUAACUUCACCCCAGUUUCUCUUGCUGGCCAGAAGAAGUUGGGAAUUGGCGUGACAAAGCUUUGGGGAAGCCCGGCUGCCCCCGGCAGCUGUCCUGGCUGCUCUGGGCUCACUGAACAGCCCUUCGCUGUGGCACCGGGACCACGCUCCUGCCCGAGCUGCUGCGGGAUCCCACCGCCUGCCCUCCUCCCCUCCCUUCCCCACACCGAGCAGGGGUACGUGCCACUAAGCUAUGCCACAGAGCUGCCGCCAGCUGCCAGUAAUCUAAUUUAUU